UACUGAGGACAGCAUCCUUCCUUUCAAGGGUAUUUUUCACCCCAGCAGAGGGUCCCCAAUAUCCCAACAGACGUGAAGGCCAAGACAGCAGUUCUCUGAAAUUUAACCUUAAAUUUGAAACACAGCUUGAAGCUUUAUGCUCAUGCAAAACUGUUAUUCAAAGGAUAAGCACCUUUUUAAUCUGUUCCAGAAAGGCAGACAUGGCCAUGGAAACAGAAGGAUCUGAUGGAACUGAUCCAAGGGCCCUCAUACAGCAGCUUCUCCCAUCAGGGACUCUUGGAUACCACCCAGACUGCUGACUCAAGGAUGGUGCUCCAUCCACUACAGCUGGGAAAGCAAAGCCACGCUGAAAACUGCUGCAUCACUGUGGUGGCAAACCCCUUCCAGAGAAAUGGCCUGAGCUAAAUCAGACAUAAGACAUUACUAUAAUGUUUGGCACUGAAGAGGAUAAAGAGCAAUCACAUCAAGAAGUGAGGAGCAACAUAUUAACCAGCAUUUUAGAAUAGUAAUUCUCGUUUUUAAACCAACCUUCUGAUCAAAGAUGGUGCUGUUAAACAGUCUGUAGAGCUUCUGUGCCAGCUCCUCUUUAUUCUUCUUGAAAUACUUCACGUAGUGGGAAGUGGGAUUUGAAAGAUCUUGCAAGAAACAAUCAGGCACUGAGCAUACCCUGAGCCUGCAAGAAAAGUCAUAAAGCUUUUGUAAAGAAGGUUUUGUGUUGGUAAACACAGUUAUAAAAUGACCAAAGGAAACAGCACAUGGCUAGAAGGCAGACUAAAGGCAGUUGUUAGAAAUGAGAAAUGCAUUCUUCUGAAAAGCUUAAGCUGCAUCCACAUACAGAAAAAGAAACAUGAAUUCUGCAAGUUAGAGAGGUUAAAAAAAAAAUCAAGACAAUCUUGUUAAUAGAAUCAGUUUGGAUAUAUUUUCAGAGGCAAGCAGCUGGAUAUAUACAAUCUGUGGGGCCAACACAUUAGAGGUGUGCUGUACCAAGACAAGGAAUAGCAAGAAAACAUUUACAAAGAAGAUUUGACAUUUGUCAGAUAUAUUUGCCAUCAAUUCCUCUAAGCAGAGAUCAGCUAUAUUCUCCCUGUCACACUGGAGACUGAAAACUUUGAUUUCCAGCUACUUAAUCAUUCAUAAUUGCUGGAUUAGUAGCAGAAGUUUCUAUAUACCAGAGGAGUCACUACAUCAUCCUAGGCAAAGGAUGUCCAUCUAUAAAUGCCCUAGAACACAGUAAAAAUGGAGAAACACUCACCUUCUAUCUGUCUUUGCUGAUUGUGAGCAACUGACCAAUUCAUUCCCAGGAAUUCUUGCAGGAGUCCUUGUCUUGGAAGAUAUUUCUGCAACUGAAGUGGAGUUUGGCCUUGGUAUCUUGACUCCCUCCCCUUUCAAAGGCUGUGCAUCUUUGCAGGGUGGCUUGAUGUUUUCUAGUUCAACAGAAAGAGUCACAGGAUUACACAUUGUCCAAGAAUCAGGAGCACAGACACCAGCAACCCACUGACAACACUGAAAAAGCCAAAUAUUCCACCUCAGAAUAAACUCCUGCUGUGCACACUUGAAGGCAAAGGCUUUUACAACUGAUGGAAAGGCAAAUCUGGACUGCCUUUGGAAACUGACUCUUUCAGAUUUUGUGGAGGUGAAAGUUUUGUGCACCUCUGACUCUCUUUCCAGUCUUUUACUCCCCCUUUUUGGUGGUCAAGCCAAGGACUUUCUACAAAGACAGAAUCCUCAGUGUCACUUGAACUCUCUCCAUAAUGCAAUUCUUGGCAGCAAGUGCUUUUCUUUCCAGAACUCAUCAACUUCCUGGGGGUCUGAAGAUCCUUUGGUGCUGCAAUCCGAAAGAAAGAGCUUAAGGUUUUGGCAGUUGCAUUUAGGAGACCUGCAUUUGUCUUAACACAAAAAAAAAUCCCUUGAAAGAUAGGAAAAUACAAAUAGAGAGGUAUCUCUGCAUUUGCUUUACUCUGCCCUGCUCAUUUACCAUUUUACUACAUGAAAAGUCACUGAAAGAUGUAUUUAAAUAACAUAGCCUGCCAACAAACAAUGCUUCUGACAUCCCAGAUUUGUCCUGUCAAGAUCAAGGGAUCACAUCAGAUCUACAGGUGACGUUUUUUUUAGUGAUGCUUCUGGUCCAUUUUGCUUCACCCAUUUCCCCUCCAGACACCAUUCCAUUGGCUUUCUACAGCUUUUCCCAGUCUGCAGCUGGCACACACUUUUCAGGGUUCACAUUCACACCAGCUGAAAGAGAUCCUGCCCCUCCUGAUCAGGGGUCAGCUCUCUCAGAGAUUUAUGCUACCUUUCCACUCAUUAAAAUUCCCACUUCAUAUUUGCUGUUGCACAAUUACUUGCCAUUCUUUUUUGUGCUCUUUCUCGCUUUAAAGUCCAAGAAGAAAUCAUCUGAGUCAUCAAUGAAGUCUUUCAAACUGUAAAAAAAAAAAAAAAAAAAAGGCAAU